rnacentral:rRNA from 1 species
UAACGAUACGAACGAGACUCUAGCCCACUAAUUAGCGUGGUAAUUCAACGCUUGCCACUAUGCUUCUUAGAGGGACAGGUGCUGCUUAAGCACACGAAAUUGAGCAAUAACAGGUCUGUGAUGCCCUUCGAUGUUCGAGGCUGCACGCGCGCUACAAUGGAGGGCACAGAAUGCACGGCGCUUCCUGUGAAGGAUGCGGAAUCGUGAAUUGCCUCCAUGACUGGGAUCGGGGAUUGAAAUUAUUCCUCGUGAACGAGGAAUUCCUAGUAAGCGCGAUUCAUUAUAUCGCGUUGAAUAAGUCCCUGCCCUUUGUACACACCGCCCGUCGCUACUACCGAUGAACGGUUUGGUGAGGUCUGUGAAUAGGUGUCGCUGGGCUGAAAGGCCCUGUUGUACUUCCUAGAAGCUGACCGAGCUUAGGCGUUUAGAGGAAGUAAAA